rnacentral:lncRNA from 1 species
AAUCCUUAAACCGAAAGUAAACCUAGGUCUUGCCCUAAACCCAGCGCACUGGUCUCUAACAUCUCAAAGGCAUGAUAUCGAAAGAUAAGAGAUUCUUAAACCACGCCUCUAUGUUUACGUUCGAUACCUUCAGCACCCCCGCAGAGUUCACAUCUCGCGGAAGAACUCUCGAAACAGGUCUCGAAUAAAACAUUUCACAAUCGAAGAAGGAUAUGAGACGACAACUCAUCACCUUCCUCCCCACUAUUCACAAAUUCAUAAAAAGCGUUAUCCGAUUAUCAUAUCAUAAAGCCGCGGAGCGGCAGGGAUUCAAAGCCACACACGGCCAGUCCCGAAAUACAAACAAGGCCAUUCAAGGCCGAAACAUAAAGACAUAAAAAAAAAAAAAUCUCUCGCAAGAGAUCUAACCCAAGUCACCCUCAGAACUUACGCCCCCUCUUCACCCGCCGCCUCGUCCGAGCCUGGAGCCGCGUCGCUUCCAUUCUCUCCGACCAUCGGAUCUUUCCCCUCUGGGUCUUCUGAACACGUCGGAAGGAAGCAAGCGGAUUUUAGGUCGGCCAGGAUGAGACCGAAAUCGCCAUCCUCGGCCGCCAUAUCUCCCUUGCAGCCGGACAGUCGGGCCUCUUCGGCCUCCAAGGUCGGGGGAGUCUCACUUUGGAACGACCGAACCACGGCCAUCCCGCCCUCAAUCGUCGCCAAAGCGAAAUCCCUGCUCCGGAUACACUCGAGGGAAUCCAGGGAAGCGGAAAUCUUCGCCAAGCGAGCCUGAAACUCCGCGCGAAGGGCAUCCGUAGCCUCUUGGAUCCCGCGGCGCGCUAGUCCAGCGUCACUCUCGAUCUGACGCUGGAGUCGACGCACCUCCGAGGAUUUGGCCUUCCUGGCCUUCUUUUCCUUAAGCAAGGAACUCG